rnacentral:rRNA from 1 species
AAGUCGAGCGGUAGAGAAGGAGCUUGCUUCUUCUUGAGAGCGGCGGACGGGUGAGUAAUGCCUAGGAAUCUGCCUGGUAGUGGGGGACAACGUUUCGAAAGGAACGCUAAUACCGCAUACGUCCUACGGGAGAAAGUGGGGGAUCUUCGGACCUCACGCUAUCAGAUGAGCCUAGGUCGGAUUAGCUUGUAGGUGAGGUAAUGGCUCACCUAGGCAACGAUCCGUAACUGGUCUGAGAGGAUGAUCAGUCACACUGGAACUGAGACACGGUCCAGACUCCUACGGGAGGCAGCAGUGGGGAAUAUUGGACAAUGGGCGAAAGCCUGAUCCAGCCAUGCCGCGUGUGUGAAGAAGGUCUUCGGAUUGUAAAGCACUUUAAGUUGGGAGGAAGGGUUGUAGCUUAAUACGCUGCAACUUUGACGUUACCAACAGAAUAAGCACCGGCUAACUCUGUGCCAGCAGCCGCGGUAAUACAGAGGGUGCAAGCGUUAAUCGGAAUUACUGGGCGUAAAGCGCGCGUANGCGGCUUGAUAAGAUGGGUGUGAAAUCCCCGGGCUUAACCUGGGAACUGCAUCCAUAACUGUCUGGCUA